UUGAGUAUGGUAGAGGUAAAGGGAAUUUCCAGUGGAGCGGUGAAAUGCGUAGAGAUUGGAAGGAACACCAAAAGCGAAGGCACUUUACUGGUCCAUUACUGACACUGAGAGACGAAAGCUAAGGGAGCAAACGGGAUUAGAUACCCCGGUAGUCUUAGCAGUAAACCAAGGAACUAGAUGUUGUAAAUAUUUACAGUGUCGUAGUUAACGCGUUAAGUAUCCCGCCUGGGAAGUAUGCUCGCAAGAGUGAAACUCAAAGGAAUUGACGGA
rnacentral:rRNA from 1 species